ensembl:lncRNA
AAAAAAUCCUAAAGAAGAUUGCUAAAGUAAAUCAAGUACACUUUCCAUUCCAGUUUGAAGCUGUGGCAUAGCUUCUUCAGAAAUUAGCAGUCACUCGGCUCAGUUCAGAAGAUUAUUUGCCUUGCUAUUCCAGGUGUUAUGAUCAGAGCGCAGACAAGACCCAGCUGAUAGCUGCAGAGCUUAGGCAAAAAAGAACUCAUGGAAAAAUACCUUGCAUAUCACUGAAUAUAAAUAACAGAGGUUAAGAGCCAUCUAGAAAGUAAGUGCUUUGUGGCAAACUGACACAUUCUCUCACAUACACAGUGCACCAUCACUACCCUAACUACAGUGCAAUUUGCAAUUAGAAGCAGAGAAGCCUUAGUAGACAGCAAUAGUUUAUUAAAAUUAAUGUAACCUGCCCAAAAAUGGGGAAAGCAUAGGUAAAUAUUUAUAGCUGACAUGCCAGAUAUCUCUUUCACUCUAUCAUCAUAUAUUAUUAUUUAGUUUGUAUCUAGAAG